rnacentral:ncRNA from 1 species
CCCGCAGCGGGAGGCUCUGACGCGCGGUCCACACCUUCGGUCGCCGGGACCGCGCCGAGCCACUGGCGAGACCGACCUGCGAUGGC